GUCCUUCAUGUCAAAGGUCCGGAAAGUUGAUUUACAAUGUUCCGUCAAGUUCUGUGAGAAGUUUCUUAAAACCUUUGGAUAUCUUCUGUGGAUUUUUCGUGUUGCGUUCCAUCAGACCGAAGCCACAUCUAAAAGGACACAUCUGUCCUUUUAGCGACAAUCACUUCUCUGAGUUGGCCCUGCCGGGAUGACUGAGAGGAUUGGCGAGCCGCACGUUUCAUCUCUUGAGAAGGCUCUUUGCAUGACUGAAUUCUCUAACUACUUGAUGUGGAGUGUGGCAUUUCUUCCUAGAGGAUGGGAAACCAGCUCGGCCAGCUCUCAUUGCCCUGACUAGUCCUUUCACAUUUCCAGAAUAUGUUGAAAUCAGAGAUGUGGUUUUGGAUGUUUGGGAAGCAAAGAAGCAUAAAAUGGAGCAGAAGGUAAAGCCAGCUUUUGCCUGAAGAUGGAGUUCAGUCUUUUUACAUGUUUUAGCAGGUAAGAGAUUGCUCCUAUAAAAUCGUGUGCUUUAAAAGAAAAUCAUCACCGCCAUCACUCAUGUGCAAACCACUAUCCUUUUUCACAUUGAGUUUCCAUUAUUCUCUGCUAUUGUCCAGUGCAUUCUUGAUACUUCAGUAAGAGUGAUAUUUUACUUUAUAAUAUACGUUUGAAAAUUAUCACUCGGGGUGUGGGAUGGAAAUCCUAUAAAGUUGGAUUGUGAUUGUCAUUGUACAACUAUAAAUAUAAUAAAUUCAUUGAGUAAUAAAAAAUUAUCAGAAGGAGGAGUUCCCAUUGUAGCUCAGCAGGUUUAAAGACCAGAUGUUGUCUCUGUGAGAAUGUGGGUUCGAUCCCUGACCUUGCUCAGUGGGUUAAGGAUCUGGCAUAGCCUGCAGAUUUGGCUUGGAUCUGGUGUUGGUGUGUCUGUGGCAUAGGCCCCAGUUGCAGCUCUAAUUUGACCCCUGGCCCUGGGACUUCCGUAUGCUGCAGGUGCAGCCUUAAAAAGAAAAAAAAAUUAUCAGAAGGAUACAUGCAUGUAGUUCAAAAUAAACAGUCGUGAUAUAUUUAAUAAAGUAGGAGCCCUUCAUGCCUUCUCUUUACGCCAAUGGAACAUACACACAAAGAAAAUAUCCAUAUAUUCCUGUUUUAUUGAAUGAUUUUAAUAUGAAUGGACUCGGAAUUAUGUCAAAUGAUUGUUUUAGAGGAGCAGUAAUCUAAGGAUCAAUGAAUUUGUAAGAAUUAGAAUCAUACAAAGUUUGGGCACUGACCAAAAUGAAGUUAAAUUUGAAAUCAAUGUAUAAACACAUAAUCAGAUAUCUGUAAACUAAAACACACUUCUUUUGAAUAAAACAUGGGUCCAGGAGUUCCCAUUGUGGCUCAGUGGUUAACAAACCCAACUAGUAUCCAUGGGUACGUGGGUUCAACUCCUGGUCUUGCUCAGUGGUUUGGGGAUCCUGCGUUUGCCGUGAGCUGUGAUGUAGGCUGGCAGCUGUAACUCCAGUUUGACCCUUAGCCUGGAAACCUCCAUAUGCCAUGGGUGCGGCCCUAAAAAGACAAAAGACCAAAAAAAAAGUCCAUUGACUCUUUUUUUAUUAUAUGACUUCACAGAAGUUUUGUAAUUCCUCAUGAUUCUACAGAUUUCUUGAUAUGUUUAUUUUAUGCUGUAUUUCCCCCUAAUUGCAGCUCUGUGGUUCUUCUUGGCCUUCUUAGGGAUUUGUCUGCUAGAGACAAGUGAUGCUGCCUCACAUCUACUCUUCAUUGGCUGGAGAGAAAACCAUUAUAUCCUUAAAAAUAGCUCUGCAAAAUCUCUUUGCCGUCAUUGUCUUUAUUUGAGUGUUAGAGUUGAGCGUCAGCAUUAAAAGUCAGAGUUUUGGGGAAGGGAAGUAGCUGUAGGAAGCCACUUAGUACGUAAGCGUACCUUCCAUCUUCCAGGGCACCCUGCUCUUGCCUCGACACAAUUGCUCUAAUAUCAAAGGGAGGUGAUAGGAUCAGCAGUGGGAGGAGGGGACAGAGUCACAAUUAGAUCAUGAAUCUUAAACCAGUGGUGGCUCAGCACUAACAGGUAUUCAAGAAGUAAUUAACUAUAAAUGUUAGCAGCUUAACGUGUUUGCCUCUUGGGAAAUCCAGGGGAUAGGUCUUGUGUGAAGGGGUCAAAUAAACAUCAGAGUCAAAUAAACAUCAUUUGUAACCCAGCUGUGACCCUGGUCCUGGCUCUAUUCAAUGAAAAUGAUUGAUGACUCCAGAUCCGUUGGUGAGUAGCUGAUCCUCACAGCUUCUGGGUCAACCAAAAGGUUCCAGGGUGUAUUAGCGGAUAAGAAGGAAAUAAGGCUGAGGGUUUGGGAAAUGUACCCAAAUGCCUCCCAAUUGUCUGGGAGCAAAGCCAUUUUUUAAGGUGUCUAAGAGAGAGGUACAACUCUAGUAUAAAAUGAUUGCGGGUCCAAUCCUUAUUUCUUUCCUUUAUCCCAUCCAAUAUUAAAAAGGAUACUUGGCACAGGGAACUAUAUCUGAUCACCUGUGAUAGAACAUGAUAGAAGAGAUGAUAUGAGAAAAAGAAUGUACACAUAUGUAUGACUGGGUCACUUUGCUGUGCAGCAGAAAUCGACAGAACAUUGUAAAUCAACUAGAAUAAAAAAUUAAAAACUAU
rnacentral:lncRNA from 1 species